rnacentral:rRNA from 1 species
UGGGGAAUCUUCCGCAAUGGACGAAAGUCUGACGGAGCAACGCCGCGUGAGUGAAGACGGCCUUCGGGUUGUAAAGCUCUUUGAUCCGGGACGAAAGAGCCUGAGGUGAAUAGCCUAAGGAAGUGACGGUACCGGAAAAGCAAGCCACGGCUAACUACGUGCCAGCAGCCGCGGUAAUACGUAGGUGGCAAGCGUUGUCCGGAAUUAUUGGGCGUAAAGCGCGCGCAGCCGGCUUCCUAAGUCCAUCUUAAAAGUGCGGGGCUUAACCCCGUGAUGGGAUGGAAACUGGGAAGCUGGAGUAUCGGAGAGGAAAGUGGAAUUCCUAGUGUAGCGGUGAAAUGCGUAGAGAUUAGGAAGAACACCGGUGGCGAAGGCGACUUUCUGGACGAAUACUGACGCUGAGGCGCGAAAGCGUGGGGAGCAAACAGG